GACGAACGCUGGCGGCGUGCUUAACACAUGCAAGUCGAACGGAAAGGCCCUGCUUUUGUGGGGUUCUCGAGUGGCGAACGGGUGCGUAACACGUGAGUAACCUGCCCUUGACUUUGGGAUAACUUCAGGAAACUGGGGCUACUACCGUAUAGGAGCUCCUGCUGCAUGGUGGGGGUUGGAAAGUUUCGGCGGUUGGGGAUGGACGCGCGGCUUAUCAGCUUGUUGGUGGGGUAGUGGCUUACCAAGGCUGUGACGGGUAGCCGGCCUGAGAGGGUGACCGGCGACCUGGGGACUGAGAGACGGAGCAGACUCCAACGGGAGGCAGUAGUGGGGAAUAUGGCACAAUGGGAGGAAGCCUGAUGCAGCAACGUCGCGGGUGGGAUGACGGCCUUCGGGUUGUAAACCGCUUUCGCCUGUGACGAAGCGUGAGUGACGGUAAUGGGUAAAGAAGCACCGGCUAACUACGUG
rnacentral:rRNA from 1 species